UAAUACAAAGGGUGCUGUGUAGAUAUGGA
rnacentral:piRNA from 1 species